rnacentral:tRNA from 1 species
GGCGGAGUAGCUCAAGUGGUUAGAGCAGCGGAAUCAUAAUCCGUGUGUCGUGGGUUCGAAUCCCUCCUCCGCUACCA